rnacentral:rRNA from 1 species
UACGGAGGGUGCAAGCGUUCAUCGGAAUUCCUGGGCGUAAAGCGUGCGUAGGCUGUUCGUUAAGUCUGUUGUGAAAGCCCCGGGCUCAACCUGGGAAUGGCAGUGGAUACUGGCGAGCUAGAGUGUGUCAGAGGAUGGUGGAAUUCCCGGUGUAGCGGUGAAAUGCGUAGAGAUCGGGAGGAACAUCAGUGGCGAAGGCGGCCAUCUGGGACAACACUGACGCUGAGGCACGAAAGCGUGGGGAGCAAACAGG